rnacentral:rRNA from 1 species
AGUUUGAUCAUGGCUCAGAUUGAACGCUGGCGGCAGGCCUAACACAUGCAAGUCGAGCGGUAGAGAGAAGCUUGCUUCUCUUGAGAGCGGCGGACGGGUGAGUAAUACCUAGGAAUCUGCCUGAUAGUGGGGGAUAACGUUCGGAAACGGACGCUAAUACCGCAUACGUCCUACGGGAGAAAGCAGGGGACCUUCGGGCCUUGCGCUAUAAGAUGAGCCUAGGUCGGAUUAGCUAGUUGGUGAGGUAAUGGCUCACCAAGGCUACGAUCCGUAACUGGUCUGAGAGGAUGAUCAGUCACACUGGAACUGAGACACGGUCCAGACUCCUACGGGAGGCAGCAGUGGGGAAUAUUGGACAAUGGGCGAAAGCCUGAUCCAGCCAUGCCGCGUGUGUGAAGAAGGUCUUCGGAUUGUAAAGCACUUUAAGUUGGGAGGAAGGGCAUUAACCUAAUACGUUAGUGUCUUGACGUUACCGACAGAAUAAGCACCGGCUAACUCUGUG